UACAGAGGUUUCAAGCGUUGUUCGGAUUCAUUGGGCGUAAAGGGUGCGUAGGUGGUGAUGCAAGUCUGGUGUGAAAUCUCGGAGCUUAACUCCGAAAUUGCACCGGAUACUGCGUUGCUCGAGGACUGUAGAGGAGAUCGGAAUUCACGGUGUAGCAGUGAAAUGCGUAGAUAUCGUGAGGAAGACCAGUUGCGAAGGCGGAUCUCUGGGCAGUUCCUGACACUGAGGCACGAAGGCCAGGGGAGCAAACGGG
rnacentral:rRNA from 1 species